GCACAUAGCUUACUUCUAAAACCAACAUUCUUGUAUGGUGGUUAGAGCGUCAGCCUCAGACGCAGGAGGUCGUGGGUUCGAUCCCCGGCUGAGUCA